GCCUUUGUAGCUCAGUUGGUUAGAGCGCUGCACCGGAAUCGCAGAGACGUAGGUUCAAUUCCUACCAGAGGAA
rnacentral:tRNA from 1 species